rnacentral:rRNA from 1 species
UGCCUAACACAUGCAAGCGAACGGAGCGAAGCGAGGUGCUUGCACCUGGCCGAGCUUAGUGGCGGACGGGUGAGUAACACGUAAGCAAUCUGGCCUAUCAGGGGGAUAACAUUGAGAAAUCAGUGCUAAUACCGCAUAAGACCACAACGUCGCAUGACGAAGGGGUAAAAAGGAGCAAUCCGGAAUAGGAUGAGCUUGCGUCCCAUUAGCUAGUUGGAGGGGUAACGGCCCACCAAGGCAACGAUGGGUAGCCGGACUGAGAGGUUGAACGGCCACACUGGGACUGAGACACGGCCCAGACUCCUACGGGAGGCAGCAGUGGGGAAUAUUGGGCAAUGGGGGGAAACCCUGACCCAGCAACGCCGCGUGAGAGAAGAAGGUCUUCGGAUUGUAAAUCUCUGUCUUCGGGGACGAAACAAAUGACGGUACCCGGAGAGGAAGCCCCGGCUAACUACGUGCCAGCCGCCGC